AGAAGAAAUGCUCCAGAAGCUAUCUGAUAAUAUUGUGCAAGAUGAUUCUAAAAGGAAGGAAUGUUAUACUGAAAAUUUACCAAAGCUGCCAAGAGUGAGGACACAGACACUGCAAACUGUGAACAACAGAAAGGGAAAACGGAAAACUCCACAGAACGACAGUAGAACAGAAGGCAGUUACUGUAGCACCAAGGAUUUCUGAAAAUAAAAAGCUUCCCAAUGGAUAAAA